GACAGAGGUGCCGAGCGUUAGGCGGAAUCACUGGGCUUAAAGCGUGUGUAGGCGGACGGGUAAGUACCUUGUGAAAUCCCAACGGCUCAACCGUGGAACUGCUGGGUAUACUGCCUGAUCUUGAGUCAUCUAGGGGCGAGCGGAACAAAUGGUGGAGCGGUGAAAUGCGUAGAUAUCAUUUGGAACGCCAAUGGUGAAAACAGCUCGCUGGGGAUGUACUGACGCUGAGACACGAAGCCAGGGGAGCAAACGGG
rnacentral:rRNA from 1 species